CAGUUCCAGAGACUUUUCAAGGCCAUUUACCACACCUCACACUACUACUAUAUACAUAUAGACCAGCGCUCCACUACCUUCACAGACAGGUGCAGGCCCUGGCCUCCCAGUACCCCAACGUGAGGGUGACGCCCUGGAGGAUGGCUACCAUCUGGGGCGGUGCCAGCCUGCUCACCAUGUACCUCCGCAGCAUGGCAGACCUCAUCACCAUGACCGACUGGAGCUGGGACUUCUUCAUCAACCUCAGCGCUGCAGACUACCCCAUCAGGUGACUGGGGUGGAGGUGACAGGGGGGUAGGGGGUGAGGACGGUGGGGGGUAGAGGCUAGCAGCAUGGCAGACCUCAUCACCAUGACCGACUGGAGCUGGGACUUCUUCAUCAACCUAAGCGCUGCAGACUACCCCAUCAGAACCAACAGCCAGCUGGUCGCCUUCCUGUCCAAGUACAGAGACAUGAACUUCAUCAAGUCCCACGGCAGAGACACGCCAGGUGAGAU